rnacentral:rRNA from 1 species
AUUGAACGCUGGCGGCAUGCCUAACACAUGCAAGUCGCGCGGGCUGUAGCAAUACAGCUAGCGGCGGACGGGUGAGGAAUACAUAGGAUUUUGCCUCAGAGCGGGGGAUAGCCCAGGGAAACUUGGAGUAAUACCGCAUGAUGUCGAAAGACCAAAGCAGGGGACCGCAAGGCCUUGCACUCUGAGAGAAGCCUAUGUCUGAUUAGCUAGUUGGUGAGGUAAUGGCUCACCAAGGCGACGAUCAGUAACUGGUCUGAGAGGACGAUCAGUCACACCGGAACUGAGACACGGUCCGGACUCCUACGGGAGGCAGCAGUGGGGAAUAUUGGACAAUGGGCGCAAGCCUGAUCCAGCAAUGCCGCGUGUGUGAAGAAGGCCUUCGGGUUGUAAAGCACUUUAGGCAGGGAAGAAAAAGUUCAAGCUAAUACCUUGAGCCUUGACGGUACCUGAAGAAUAAGCACCGGCUAACUCUGUGCCAGCAGCCGCCGUAAAAC